rnacentral:rRNA from 1 species
CUGGGAUCGAUUUAGCCAUGCUAGUUGUGCGGGUUUAGACCCGCAGCGGAAAGCUCAGUAACACGUGGCCAAGCUACCCUGUGGACGGGAAUACUCUCGGGAAACUGAGGCUAAUCCCCGAUAACGCUUUGCUCCUGGAAGGGGCAAAGCCGGAAACGCUCCGGCGCCACAGGAUGCGGCUGCGGUCGAUUAGGUAGACGGUGGGGUAACGGCCCACCGUGCCCAUAAUCGGUACGGGUUGUGAGAGCAAGAGCCCGGAGACGGAAUCUGAGACAAGAUUCCGGGCCCUACGGGGCGCAGCAGGCGCGAAACCUUUACACUGUACGAAAGUGCGAUAAGGGGACUCCGAGUGUGAAGGCAUAGAGCCUUCACUUUUGUACACCGUAAGGUGGUGCACGAAUAAGGACUGGGCAAGACCGGUGCCAGCCGCCGCGGUAAUACCGGCAGUCCGAGUGAUGGCCGAUCUUAUUGGGCCUAAAGCGUCCGUAGCUGGCUGAACAAGUCCGUUGGGAAAUCUGUCCGCUUAACGGGCAGGCGUCCAGCGGAAACUGUUCAGCUUGGGACCGGAAGACCUGAGGGGUACGUCUGGGGUAGGAGUGAAAUCCUGUAAUCCUGGACGGACCGCCGGUGGCGAAAGCGCCUCAGGAGAACGGAUCCGACAGUGAGGGACGAAAGCUAGGGUCUCGAACCGGAUUAGAUACCCGGGUAGUCCUAGCUGUAAACGAUGUCCGCUAGGUGUGGCGCAGGCUACGAGCCUGCGCUGUGCCGUAGGGAAGCCGAGAAGCGGACCGCCUGGGAAGUACGUCUGCAAGGAUGAAACUUAAAGGAAUUGGCGGGGGAGCACUACAACCUG